UACGUAGGGUGCAAGCGUUGUCCGGAAUUAUUGGGCGUAAAGAGCUUGUAGGCGGUUUGUCGCGUCGUCUGUGAAAACUCGAGGCUCAACCUCGAGCUUGCAGGCGAUACGGGCAGACUUGAGUACUGCAGGGGAGACUGGAAUUCCUGGUGUAGCGGUGAAAUGCGCAGAUAUCAGGAGGAACACCCAGGGGGAAACCAGUCGACUGGGCAUCCGUACUGACGCUGAGGUGCGAGAGCGUGGGGAGCGAACCGG
rnacentral:rRNA from 1 species